ensembl:lncRNA
GUCCUUUCGAAAAACAUACACACAAACUCACAGAAACACGCACACACACACACACACACACACACACACACACACACACACACACACACACACACAUAGCCAAAUGAGUCCAUUUUAAUAAUGAUAAAUUAUGUGAUGAUGAGUAUGACGCUAUUAUAACACAAUAGUAAUAAUCACAUUAUUAUUGUGAUUAUAGCAGCACUCAUCUCAUCAUGGACAAUUACGAGUGAUUCAUAAUAAUUUAGUCAUAUUUUCAUCCAAAACAACAACAACAACAACAAUAAUAUAAUUAAAGGUACAAUAAAUGCCUUUUUAGAACUAGACAUCAUGUAACUUCAUUAGUGUCACUGUGUGUGUGUGUGUGUGUUUAUUUUAUACUGUAUAACUGUUAAAGAAACAUCAGAAUAAAAAUCCUUUAUUUUUCCAUAAAGCUUUUAGUAAAUCUUGCGUCAUUGCAGUUUAGCUGUAAACACACUGUAAAAAUGGCAGGUAAAAUUAUGUUGAUAUUAGUACAUAGAUAAUACUAUACAGGGAAUUACUUUAAACCAUGUGUAAACCUUGUAUGACAAACCAGAAUAAGCAAAAACAAAGGCUUAGCCCUUUUGAAACACAGCAUUAGACUAUAAGCCAUAAAUCUGUAGUAGAAAAACGCAGUGUUCCUGAUCCUGAAGGAAACUUGAUAGCCAAUCUUGAUGCCAAAUAGAAGCAUUGGAAUCAUCACCAGGAUAUUAAAAUGACUUGUGUGUAUUACAACACAAGAUACCAGGAUACAAAAAAAUACCCCAGCGUUUUUUUUUUCAACCUAAUGUCUAUCUAUAACAAUACCACAGACAAGAACUGUAACACGUAUGUGUAGGUGGUUUCAGAGAUGUUGAAGAAUUUUAAAAGUUUUGCAUGUGACCAACUUUGUUCAGAAUCUGGGGUUACCUUGUGAAUGAUGACAUGGAGAAGGACUAUUUUAUAAGUAUUAAUCAAUCGCUUGGCAAUGAAACUAAAGUCUGAUAGGCUGCAUGAGUCUACAGUCUGGGCUAGAAAGAAAUCAGCCUUAGGCUUAAGCUUGCCCCAACAGCUGCCUUUAGACUUCCAUUAUAAGUCAGUUGUAAGCAGGUUUUGUUUUCAUUUCUAAGUAAAUGUAACCGUGUUGAAAUUCUCGUCUGUAGGAAUCAAACAUCCAGUUCAAAUACAAUGGAGUAUUCCUUUAAUGGUGAGAACCAAACAUCCCAGUAAGGACCAGGAGUUUAAAACCAGUUUCUUUUGUCUUGAUAUGCGAGGUACAAUAUCACCAUAUCAGGUCAUAUUUGCCACAAAUGUGCUCAUAUGAGCACUCACACUUCUAUAUGAAAGUGCUUCAGUACUGGAUUAGAGUAAGGGGAAACGGUGCAAUGUUUAAAAAAAACUGACAUAAAAAAAAACAAAUCUAUAAACUGUAUAAAAUCAGUAAGGAAAGAUUUACACAGUCAUGGGUUUACAAUAUGAUCUCAGUUAAAAGCUAAUUAGUAUACAGUUUGGAGUUAGCAGUUCCAGCUUUGUAUUAAUCUGUAUUAAAAUUAACAAAAUUAACAAAAUUGUUAGAAUUCCUACAAAUCUUGCCUGAUAAAAGGUUGUGUGAAAAAAAACUUUUUUUUUUUUUUUUUUUUUUUUUUUUUACCAAAAAAACAACAUUUAAGACGUACACAACAACAAUUUAGGUUUUUACAGAACAGCUAUCCAGUCCAAAGAGCAUUUCGACAUGACUGCACUUUGAAUCUUUACAGAUGGAUGAAUUCCUUACAGAGCAAUGGAGCAGAUUUACACAGAUUACACAGAAACCAAGUGAGCUGCUUUUCCAUGGCAGUGUGAAGUCAUUUCCAAAUCAUCAGUGUUGAAAAUUUCCGGAAAAAGAAAUCCGCCAGCCAACAUGCUCCAUUGCAACGUCCAAGAUGAUGUGUACCAAAAAAGUCGGAUACGAGAAAAUAUACAUGUUUAAUUCUGCUUUUAUCUGCCAUGAUGUAAUGUUUGAAACAUGUGGAAGUUGUGCCUCCUUUUAGGUCAUGAGAGCAGAUGGUCAUGUGUUUAAGGAGAAAUAAACAGUCUCUUACUCUCUCUCUCUAUCUCUCUCUCUCUCACACACACACACACACACACUUUAUUUUACUUGUGAGGACCAAACUUAGCAAAUUAAUGCUCCUACACCUAAAUCUAACACUAACCCUAACCUCAGUAAACAAAAGGAAACCUUUUGAUUCUUUGAGUUUUGUAAAUAAAAGCAGUUCAAAAAAUGACAAAUGUUCCCACAAGGACAAAUCACAAUCAAACAUUCAGACACAUCAGAUCACUGACAGAUAUUCCUGUCCUUGUGGGGACAUUCCGUCCUCACCAAGAUAUAAAAACAUGACUAUCUCGUCCUCCCCAAACAUACUCUCUCUCUCUCUCUCUCUCUUUCUCAAACACACACAGAGUUAUGUCUGAAAUAAAUAAGGCAGAUUUCUAAAUUUACUUUACAUAUCCAGUUCUGAGACAGGAUAAUCUGUACACAGUGUUAUUUCUGAUAAUUUUUUUUUUUUUUUAAAACCCCACGAGAUUUGUACCGUAACCUUCAGCAGCAUGCAAACAAAACCGAGCAACGUCAAAGAGAGGGUUUGGAGCCAACCUGCUAUCUAUCUAUUACAUCAGUAGUGUAUGUGCGAUUACUACACACAAUCAUUCUACUGUUCCCCUGAACUGAGAGAAGAAACAACAACAGAGAACAACACAAAACUUACUGCCAUUCAAAGUCUAGGGGCAGAUGUGGAAUUCUGUCAAUAAAUGUUUAAAAUACAUAACAACGUAACUCCAAUUUUUAAACUACAACUGUCAAUUUUGAACGCUGUCUUUCAGACAGAAAUGAUGGAAAGUUGUUAGCAAACUUUCCAACACUGGAAAACAAUGCAGAAAAAUAUACAUAUAAUUCCGCUUAUAGAUAUCUAAUAUGAUGAUAUAAUAUCGAUGUAGUGAUGAAUUAUGUCCCAAUAAACUUUUCUAUAAAUCAUUGACAUCUAAAGUUUUUUUUCCCAACAAAAAUCUGAUUGGAAGCAGCUGAUUUCUGUACUGGAUCUUUAAAUGUUCAACUUUUUUAAAACAUAUUUUUCCCAUUUUUCAUCCUUAUUGGCGUUAAAUAAUUUAUUUUGGAGAUAUGAAAUAAAGUUAUAUAUAUAUAUAUA